rnacentral:rRNA from 1 species
AUACCACUUGGGAAACAGGUCGCUAAUACCCGGAUAAGAAAGCAGAUCGCAUGAUCAGCUUUUAAAGGCGGGCGUAAAGCUGUCGCUAUGGGGAUGGGCCCCGCGGUGCAUUAGCUAGUUGUAAGGUAAGGCUUACCAGGGCGAUGAUGCAUAGCCGAGUUGAGAGACUGAUCGGCCACAUUGGGACUGAGACACGGCCAAAACUCUACGGGAGGCAGCAGUAGGAAUCUUCCACAAUGGACGCAAGUCUGAUGGAGCAACGCCGCGUGAGUGAAGAAGGUUUUCGGAUCGUAAAAGCUCUGUUGUUGGUGAAGAAGGAUAGAGGUAGUAACUGGCCUUUAUUUGACGGUAAUCAACCAGAAGUCACGGCUAACUACGUGCCAGCAGCCGCGGUAAU